rnacentral:rRNA from 1 species
UACGGAGGGUGCAAACGUUGUUCGGAAUUACUGGGCGUAAAGGGCUCGUAGGUGGCCAACUAAGUCAGACGUGAAAUCCCUCAGCUUAACUGGGGAACUGCGUCUGAUACUGGAUGGCUUGAGUUUGGGAGAGGGAUGCGGAAUUCCAGGUGUAGCGGUGAAAUGCGUAGAUAUCUGGAGGAACACCGGUGGCGAAGGCGGCAUCCUGGACCAACACUGACACUGAUGAGCGAAAGCCAGGGGAGCAAACGGG